rnacentral:SRP_RNA from 1 species
GCUGGGCAUGGUGGUGCAUGCCUGUAAUCCCAGCUACUUGGGGAGCUGAGGCAUGAGAAUCGCUUGAACCCAGGAGGAAGAGGUUGCAGUGAGCCAAGAUGGCACCACUGCACUCUAGCCUGGGUGACAAAGCUAGACUCUGCCUCAA